GUACACGCUGUGACUAGCAUAUCAAUAAGCGGAGGAAAAGAAACUAACAAGGAUUCCCUUAGUAACGGCGAGUGAAGCGGGAAGAGCUCAAAUUUGAAAUCUUCAAGGGUUUACCUUGACGAAUUGUAGUUUAAAGAAGUGCUUUUCUGUUGAAGUUUUGGUAAAAGUUCUUUGGAAUAGGACAUCAUAGAGGGUGAGAAUCCCGUAUUUGACACUUACUUUCAGCUUUGUGAUACACUCUCAAAGAGUCGGAUUGUUUGGGAAUGCAGUCCAAAAUGGGUGGUAAAUUUCAUCUAAAGCUAAAUAUUGGCGAGAGACCGAUAGCGAACAAGUACCGUGAGGGAAAGAUGAAAAGAACUUUGAAAAGAGAGUUAAACAGUACGUGAAAUUGUCAAAAGGGAAGCGUUUGACACCAGUGUUGUUUUUCUGAAAAUCAAUUAAAGAACUGUUUAUGCUAAGUUGUUUAGACUUUAUCAGCUAACUGUUUAGUUUUGAGCUUUUCUUUAAUACACUUUUCAGUUAACAAGUCAACAUCCAAUUUCCUUUGCUGUAAAAAAGCUUGAGGAAGGUGGCUUGAGAUUCGUCUUAAGUGUUUAUAGCCUCUUGCCUAUGCAGUCGGAGAGAUUGAGGUCUGCAGCGUAGAUCCUUCGGGGCUAAAUGCAUUUGUGCUAAGUUAUAGCAUUUUAUAGACAACUUGUUGACUAUGAUUUGUCUUGUAGCUUACUCGCUUAUGUUAUUUUACCUACGCUUAGGAUGUUGAGCGCAUGUCUCUCUCU
rnacentral:rRNA from 1 species